CCUUAGGCAAGGUGUGCUAAAAAAAUUUAAAGAGUUGAGCUGUGGACGCAAAUACCAGUUGCAAAUUUAGGAGAUCAACCACUGAAAGAACUAAUAUGUAAAAACUGCUAGCUGAUGCACUGCUGUUUUGAAAGACUCCUGACAAGCUGUAUGGAUAUCAUAGCUAGUGUAUUGCUUUUUAGAGAGGCAACUUACAAGCUGUAUGGAUGGUAGAUGAUUUGCUACAUCAUGUUUGAAGAACUUUUGAGACUUAUAUCCUGGGACUUCAUAUACUUCUAGAAAAAUGGCUCAACUAGUGAAUUCAAAGAGAAUACACAGUAAAUAUCAAAAUAGCACAGAAAAUUAUGUGGUAGUACUACAUGAAGCUGAAGGUAAAUAAAGACUUCAAAGAAAGUUUCUCCAUGGUAAGUUAUAUUAUAUUUUACAAUCAUCUUUUUAAAGUCCAAUAGACAACUUUUGAGUUUGAUACAUUUCCAUUGAAAACUUUGGUUUUAGUGAAUAUAUUUCGUGCGUUUAGGGGCAUCAUCACUUCUGUUCCAAUGUUGGAGCAAUCGGUUGGAAAACAAUGAUGCUAUUUUGCACGAAUUAUUUGGCAAAUUGAAUUCUUAUAAUUGACAAUCAGCACUGCUGUCAUUAGGGAAUAGAGAUCAAGUACCUGAACAAAUAUUAUUUCUAUUUUAUCCUGCACAAUGAUGGUUGCUAAGACGCUUGAUGUAAUUUAUUAGUGCAGGGAUACAGGCAAUCCCCUCUAUCUGGUAUAUGACUUCAUAGAGGCACGCAUAAUUGACGAGUUUUUUCCAGUGUUGGACAAACUCAAAAGUGGUCUUUUAACUUGUUCAAACAGAUAGAAGUUUUAAGGUCGAUUAAGGUAAAGGUCAACAUAACAAUGAAUGAUAAAACUUAUGCUUAUGGUCAAAUUGGAUUUUACAGGUCAAAAGUCAAGGUCAAUGUUGCAUCUUUUGUAGAAUGAUUAUAAAAAUGCUUAUA